UGGGACUAAAGGUACGCACCACCGUGCCCUGCUAAUUUUAUUUUUUAUUUUUGUAGAGAGGAGGGCUCACUAUAUUGUCCAGGCUGGUCUCAAACUCCUGGACUCAAGCAAUCCUCUCAUCUUGGCUUCUCAAAGUAUGGGAAUUACAGGUAUGAGCCACCAUGCCCAGGCCAGUACAUUCCCAUUCUUAAACCAGCCCAUUUCUAAACCAGUUACUGGCAAGAGUAGAAAAUUUUCAUGAUUGGCCUAAAGAAUCCAGAUUCACCUUCCUUGGGCUGGCUGAGUCCCGCAUCCCAGAGCUCCUGGUUGAUAUAACUGAAAGAAGUGGAACUAGGGUAGGAGGCUGCACUCCAGGAGAUAAAAUGGUCUCAAAAUAAGCCCUUGAGACUUUUUAUAAGUCACAAAAUCCUACUAGUUUUUCAAAGUGCAGCUCAAAUCUUGGGUCUUUCAUUAAUCUUUCCCUUAUUAUCUUAACCAGAAGCAGCCCAUCCCUGCUAUAAAUUUAAAACCUUGAGUAUCGGCCAAAAACACUGGAAUCAUUCCUGAUUUCUCUCUUUAUGUCAUAAAUCAUAACCCUAUAUCUCAUCUAUCUUGUCUACUCUACCUUCAUUAUAUAUCAGAAUCUAAUCUCAUCUCACCACCCUUAGUCUCUUCUCUCUGGUCCAAGCCACCAUCAUCUUCAUCUCAUCCCGGAUUAUUGCAGCACCCUUCUCACUGGCCUCACACUUCUCCUUGUGCACUCUUGGAGUCCAUGCUCAGAGUGAUCCUUCCAAGGUGUGAGUCCAAUCAUGUCACUGCUCUACUCAAAGCCCUCCAAUGGCUUCAAAACAAAAUCUAAAGUCCUUACCACCACUUGCAGGGUCCUCAGUGAUCCACUCUGUCACCUCUCUCAUGUCCUCUCCUGCCCACAGUCUCCUGCUCACUACUUUCCAGCUACACUGGCCUGCUUGUUCUUAGAACUCACCAAGCACACUCCUUCCUGAGAGCCUUCGUGCUUGCUGCUCGCCUUGCUUAGAAAAUUCUUCACAGACUCAGAUGACUCACUCCCUCCUUCUUCAGAUUUUGACUCAAAUGUCUCCUUACCAGAGAGGUCUUCUCUGAUCUCCCAUCUAAAAAACCACAUUCUCUUAACCAUGUCACUCUACCCUCCUUAAUCUGCUUCAUUUUCCUUCAAAGUACUUCCCAGAAGCUGGUGUAUUAUACAUAUUUAUUUGCUGACACUCAUCUUGGCCUCUCAAAGUAUGUCUUGUCUCAUUAGAACAUAAGAUCUAGGGGGUGGG
rnacentral:lncRNA from 10 species